GCGAGGAAGCCAAUGGCAUAGGGAUACUGGACAGUUCCUGCGUGCCUUUCUCCACGCACAAAGCCGACAUCCAACUUUGCUCACUUAGUUGGCUCCCGCCCAGCCGGCCCCCGAAGCACAGUCACGGUGAAAACAUUUUGAUACCAGAAAAUCAUUUCCACGGAAGUGCAAGUGUUCGAAAGCACAAAGGCAGAUACCAUCGACCCGCGCUAGCUAGCAAGUUGCGGUACUCGGGGCGGCGGCGCGGAGCACGCGUCCAGAUGAUCACCAAAAAAUACUCUUGUCAUCAAGGCCUUAUAGGUAUCUGUGGGGUUUUGUCCACCUGGUACAGAGUUGGCAAGUUAAAGAAGCAAAGGAAACCACACAGUGGGAAAGUUCUCUGGAGCACACAAUUCCAUAAACAUCGACAUUUCGAGGAUAUGAAGAUUCUGCUGCUCCGUUCUGAGCAAAGAGUUUAACAAGUCAAAUACAAAUCUCAGGGGACUUCAUAAGCCUCGUGAUGGUGCUGUGAGUAGCAUCCCAUUAUUGAUUGCAAAUACUGCAUUGGAAUGCCUCGGAAGAGCCCCAAACCAAAACUUUCAGAUGCCUGAAGCUCUGAGCUUUCCAGUUAGGCUGAAAGUUUCCCUUGAUAACCAGUAGUGCUGAAGCUUUUAAUAUUGUGUUGGUCUAUCCGUUCUCAGCAACGUUUUCUAGUUAUGAAGGCCAGCGGAUCACUUGAUGUCAGCGAGGUAGCUCAUCCGACCCACUUGCAUGCUUUCUGAUCAAAUAUGCUACCUGAAAAAAAAAAAUCUUCAGCGUCACAUAAACUGAUCAUGCAAAUUCAUCAAGGAAGGUGGCAUUUCUGGGAUAAAGGAAGAAGUAUAUGUUCUUGAAAGUCAGCAAUUUGGGUGGCUUUAUGUCUACAACUUGGAAGACAUUUGCAGAACAUUUGGUAAUUAAAUAUGCCCUCAGCUGAGAAAUAAUGCUCUGGGUUGUCUUGCAGGUAAGUAGAAGGUAAGUGUUCUCUCUUACCUGGGUUUUAAGAGUUCUUGGAAUCCCAUGGGUAUUCCAGGUGUAUACAAUCUAUACAAUAAUAUGAGUAAAUGUCCUGGCUAAGAAACAGGCAGAAUUCAUCUUCCUAGAGUCACAACAACUGAGUCUUUCUUGAGAUUCAGGGUUCAGCUCAAUAUCUUCCCCUCCCCCCCGGAGCCUUCUUAUCCACAUUAGCCCACUUUGUGUCAUCACCUUCCUUUAUUUUUAUUUCGCCAAUCAUUGUCUGAAAUGAUUGUCUUCAUUUGUUUUCUGGUUUGUGGAUGUCUCUGCCUGGUAGAAAAUCGCUCAUUGAGAGCGGGAUGUUGUUAUCUGUCUCCUUCACCACUGAUUCCCCAGCUCCUAGAAGCAGUCCCUGGUACGUUGCAGGUCUUCAAUAAGUAAGGAAUGAAUGAAUGAAAGAAUGAAUGAAAGGAGAAUUCUGACUACAGUAUAGUUCCAAAGAGAGUUAUAGAACAUUGGAUGGUUCAGAAGCUGGGUAUGAGAUAUGGCUGUAUAUGAUGUCUAAAAUGUAGUCUAAUGAGGUCAGGGGUUUUCUUUUUCUUUGUUUUUUGGCCGUGCCCUGCAGCUUGUGGAAUCUUAGUUCCCCAACCAGGGAUUGAAUCCGGGCCACCAUAGUGAAAGAACAGAGUCCUAACCACUGGACCGCCAGGGAACUCCUAGGAAUUUUCUUUAUACUUGAAAAGAAUCCCUACAACACCAGGCACAGCAUGUGAUAUUCCAUACCGUUGGAGGGACCAUCCUCUCCAGUGUGGAAAUUCCUUGAACAAAGCUUGCAAUUCCUUGGAUAAAGCCUUUGCCCUUGGACAAAGGAUAGGUGAGAGAAGGAAGAAUCUGGAACAAGGGAGAAGGGAGGAAGAAGGAUGGGGAUCACGAAUAUGGCCAAACUGGAUUCUCCUCUGUAACUGGGGAGGAAAGGCUUCCCUUAAGAAGCUUGCAUGUCAUAUUUAACUGGUUCCUUCCUAUAACAUCUUGACUUAAUAAAGAGACAGGCAAAAGGGAAAGAAAAGAAAAAUGAAAGAAAGAAUCCGCAGCAAGACAAUAAAAAGUUUCCCCCUCACACCCACCACCUUGGGAGUUUUGCCUUUGUGCCUCGUGGCUUAUCCCACUGAAACUCAUCAGUUUUUGCUUUUAUGCUGGAAACGCCCCAAAAAACAUUUGAAGCUUGCUAGCCACCCCUUGGGGUGAGAAGGUUUCACAACGUGUCUCCAGGGAAGCCCAGGGGGCCAGGGUAGGGGAAGAGGUGUCCUUCUCUCCCUCGUGGGGGAACAAAGGACAGAACCUCAAAGUUCUUGCCCCAGUGUGUGACCUUGGGGCCGAAGGCAAAACAUUUUGUCUCUGGGUCCUAAUGAUAUAAGCUCCCCCGGCUCUGCAACUGCGCUCUAUGAUGUGACCUGAAAGCUUUGAUGGAAUUACUAUUGCCUUCUCUUUCUCUGCCCAGCCAUUUAUUAUUCUGUAUAUUUUCAGGAGCUGUGGGAAACUUUCAUAACCAAGCCUAAGCCAGGCGAAAACUUGUCCUAUUUGGAAUUUGUAAUGAAGUCAAAACAUGGCCUGGAUUUUCUGAAAGGCUCCUUUGGCGGCCUGUGACAGCCCUAGGGCACAAUCAGACAGGGCUGGAGAGGGCCUGGGAGCAGAUUUUGUUACCAAGAAUAGGACAGAACAAUAUUUGCCUCCAAAACACUAGGGCUGCUAUUUACCUCUCAGCUGGAAGAAGGGAGAGAUAAAUGCAGAUUUCACAUAAAGUGCAAAUACCAAUUCUUUCAUUUCUAAUUUUCAGGAUUUUUUUUUUUCCCCUUAGCUCCCUCUAAACAAAAGGCUAGGGAGAAUUUUUAGCAUAUUUGAUUUCCUGACCUAAGGGAAGAAAUUCUUUAUUUCAGAACUUUUGACCCCCAAAGAGCUGUUACUUUGCCUGAAAGGCUGAAUAAAAAUUGUUAGACAUUUAAAGCA